rnacentral:lncRNA from 1 species
AGGAAAUCAAAAUUUCUGAGUAGGGCCGGAGAACCUUUCUCUCUCUCUCCCCUUCACACACACACACACACACAAUUAUAUAUAUGUUAUAUAUGUAUAUGGAUACGUAUCUGAUAUAUAUAACAUAUAUAUUGGAGACAGGGUCUCACUCUGAGGCCCAGGCUGGAGUGCAGUGGCACAAACAUGGCUUACCACAGCCUCAACCUCCUGGGCUCAAGCAAUCCUCCUGCCUCAGUCUCCCCAAGUAGCUGGGACCACAGGUACUGGCCACCUCUCUUGGUUAAUUUUUUUUUUUUUUGUAGAGAUGGGAUCUCUCCAUGUUGCCCAAGCUAGUCUCAAAUAUCUCGGCUCAAGGAAUCUUCCCAUGCUGGUCUCACAAAGUGCUGAAUUUACAGGCAUUAAGCUACCAAGCCCAGCCUGAGAAUCUGUAUAUUUAAACACAAUAGUAAUAGAAUGUUCUAAGAGAGAAAGUGUCCUCCUUCUUGGUGGCAUUCUGUUCAGUGACAUGACUUCUGAAGAGAUGCAAGGUAGGCAGUCUCAGCUCUGAACAGGAGGGGGUCUCAGCUUCAUAUAACCUCUGUCCACCUGUAACUCAAGCAGUUCAGUCAUCAUGGAAGACUGUAAGAGCCUAGACAUGAGGAUAGUAACAAUGGCCAGGAUGGACUAACCAUAGGGAUCUUUCAUUCAUCUUAUAAUAUUAGAUAAGCCUCAUAGUCUUAUCAUCCCUUCCGAGGUAGGGGAAGGAGUCUGAUUAUUACAUAGGCUGGUUCCCAGCUCUUCCAACAAUGUGGGAGCUGAUGAUGUGAUUUAAUUUGCUUCAUUUCAUUUCUGCCUAUUUAUGUUCCAUAAUUUAUUUAUUUAAUGUAUAAAUGCUUUAUUAUGUCUUUGAACCACAUCAACAAAUUUAUUCUGACCUAUUUUCAGGCUAUUCUCUAAAAUAAUUUUUAUUCGGGUGAAUUACUGUUUCUGAAUUAUACUACCAAGUCUUCUGUUCCUUGGCUGUCCUUUGAGAAAUUAGACUUCUUCAUGUGUUUUUGAACUUUGGUUUGCAGGCUCAUUUUGAGCAUCCCCUUCAAACUUUUCCCUCCCUAAGAAUUUAGUGGUUUUCUUUACCUAGCCCAGCCCUUUCACUCCUAAACCAGAAUCAGGUUUACAAUCCAGCUUGGGAUGUACUGCCCCUAGGGGACAUUGUGGAGUAUAGCAGAUCCAUUACCGAGUCUGCAUGGUGCUGGCUCGGUUCCUGGGAGUCACACUUCGUCUUCGCCCUUUGUCUCUUCAGGUUUGCAGCUUCAUCUGAAGCCAUAGUCAUAAUAGAGCAGCGAGCGUUGUUUGCCUCUGGCAUCACAUAGGAAGCCUGGCUCUGCUCCAGGUCUCACUCACAUUUAAAACUCCUUUUCCCAUAGGGACCAAACCCUCAGUCACUAGUGUCUACUUCCAGAGCUCAGACAACCCACGAUUUAUGGUUUUCUUUUGUUUCUGGUCCACGGAGAUGUUUAUCUUGUACCAGAGCCUAGUUAGAUCUUCCCGCUUUUUUUUUCUUUUUAAAAAAUAUUUCAUCUGUCAUUGCUUUUUGUUCACAGAAGGUGAAUUCACUGCAUUUUGAUCAUUAUAAAAGUCUGAAUUAAUUCAUUUGAAAAUGGUAAAUAAAUGACAUUUCUUUCAAGCACAAGUCUCUGGAGUGAGAUCCACAUCCUCUACAACAACAUAAGAAAUCCUUGUGGAAGACACCUCUGAUUAACUCCUAUUUAUUCCUCCACUUGACAGAGCCUGAGCAUCGAUAUCUUCUAUUAAUAUUUGUGCCCACAGAGUGCUAAACAUGGAGUAAUUCUAAACUGCAGUUACUUUUGCACCAACCUAAUACAACUUGUAAUGAAGAUUGUUUUUCAUAUCUGGUUCCAACUGUCUGUUGGUGGUGGCUUUGAGCAGCAGUGUACAAAGAAACAAGCUGAGCUCAGAAGAAACAAGUGCAUGAGUGGAUCACCCUGUCUAUUAUGGACACAAGUGGAGAGUAGUGAGAGGUUCAACUUUAUACUUAAGUCUCAAAAUGUCUAUCUCUAUUGUCUCUAUUGGACUUCGGACCUGCACAUUCAACUACCCACUGGGUAAUCUUAUCUGGAUGUCCCAACUACCUCAAUCUGUACAUGCCUAAAAUUAAAAUAAAAGUGGGUUAACUGAUCCAUCAAAUUGGCAUCAUGAUCCCUAUUAGCAUUGUGUUCCAGGCAGCCAUUACCACAUUUCAGAUUAGUACUCAAUUCAAAAUAAACCCUCUUUGCCAUCUGACUAAGGAAACUUGCUCUGAUGGUGGAAUUAUAGGCAUCAGCAAUGGGGGUAAGGGAAAAAGUUGAUGGGAUGGUGGAAACGCAGUGUCUUAAAAUCUUACCCAUUUCACCUUUCCUGGCCCUGAGUACAGAAAUAAGAUCACAGGGAAAAAUUCAAACUAUGCUUGCUCUCAAGUGGAGUGAUAGAAACUAGAAAAAAUGAAGGUAAUAAAACUUUUAGACUUUCUUUACAAUAUCCUAUUUAGCUUAUAUAUAUCUGCCCAUCUCCCUUAACUUCCUCUCCUUAGCCCCCAAUAUUUUUAUUGUCAGAUGGUCAUUAGGACAAAAGCUUAUUUAUCUGAAGAAUUAUAGUGUCAGUCCCAUGUAGGAUGGUCUAUGUGUUUACGCAAAAGUGCUCCGUGACACAAACAAGACACUUACGCCCC